AGAGUUUGAUCCUGGCUCAGAACGAACGCUGGCGGCAGGCUUAACACAUGCAAGUCGAGCGCACUCUUCGGAGUGAGCGGCGGACGGGUUAGUAACGUGUGGGAACGUGCCCUUCUCUAAGGAAUAGCCACUGGAAACGGUGAGUAAUACCUUAUACGCCCUUCGGGGGAAAGAUUUAUCGGAGAAGGAUCGGCCCGCAUUAGAUUAGAUAGUUGGUGGGGUAAUGGCCUACCAAGUCUACGAUCUAUAGCUGGUUUGAGAGGAUGAUCAGCAACACUGGGACUGAGACACGGCCCAGACUUCUACGGAAGGCAGCAGUGGGGAAUCUUGGACAAUGGGCGCAAGCCUGAUCCAGCCAUGCCGCGUGAGUGAUGAAGGCCUNAGGGUCGUAAAGCUCUUUCACCACGGGAUGAAGNGGACA
rnacentral:rRNA from 1 species